rnacentral:rRNA from 1 species
GCUGCAGAAGAAGCACCGGCUAACUCCGUGCCAGCAGCCGCGGUAAUACGGAGGGUGCGAGCGUUAAUCGGAAUUACUGGGCGUAAAGCGCAUGCAGGUGGUUUGUUAAGUCAGAUGUGAAAGCCCGGGGCUCAACCUCGGAAUUGCAUUUGAAACUGGCAGACUAGAGUACUGUAGAGGGGGUAGAAUUUCAGGUGUAGCGGUGAAAAUGCGUAGAGAUCUGAAGGAAUACCAGUGGCGAAGGCGGCCCCCUGGACAAAGACUGACGCUCAGAUGCGAAAAGCGUGGGGAGCAAACAGGAUUAGAUACCCUGGUAG